rnacentral:rRNA from 1 species
UACGAGGGGAGCUAGCGUUGUUCGGAAUUACUGGGCGUAAAGCGCACGUAGGCGGCUUUGUAAGUAAGGGGUGAAAGCCCAGAGCUCAACUCUGGAAUUGCCUUUUAGACUGCAUCGCUUGAAUCCAGGAGAGGUGAGUGGAAUUCCGAGUGUAGAGGUGAAAUUCGUAGAUAUUCGGAAGAACACCAGUGGCGAAGGCGGCUCACUAGACUGGUAUUGACGCUGAUGUGCGAAAGCGUGGGGAGCAAACAGG